AUCUCAUUAUCUCAUUAUUUAUUUACUACUUAUUUACUUAUUACAUUACUACUUAUUUACAAUUAUUAUUAUUGAAUCAUUAUGAAGUAUUGAAUAUAUUAUACAGUAUAAUUUAGAUAUUAUGCAUUAAGCAUCUUAUAUAAGGCUUUUGCACAGCACUAUAACACAAAUCUAACCAUCUCUACACACACGCUUAAAAUAACGCUUAGCUCUAGAACCUGUUUAGAUCUCUUGUUUUGUUCCUAACUGGGAACGCUAAAAGGCUAUAGAACCGUACACCUGCGUUUCCUAUAAAGUUCAAAGUAAGCAACUCUAAAACUCUUAACUAUUCAGAAGAACCCUUGAGGAAGUUUUUUUUUUGUCAUCUGUAUAAUAAUUAUGCUUGAAAUUAUUUUUUAUUUUAUUUUACUGUGCACUUUUUUUUAUUUCCUUCCAUUUAUUUACUUUAACCUUGCGCAAUGACCUUGACACUUUUUAAACAAGAAAUCAUGUACUACAGUCGAGCUAUCACGUGUAUGAAAGGAUAGUAGUAGUAGUAGUAGUAUGUUUUUAUUCAGAAACUGAGUAAAUACCAACAAUUAAUUAAGUCCUAUAAAUCUAAAAAGGAGUCAAAAGUACAAUUGACUUAAGAUUAAAUGACAUGACUAGACCUAUCAUUAUCUGUUAUUAAAACAAGCUUGGUUAGGGUUCUUGGCAAAGUUCGGACUCAUUUUCAUUUUAAACCACCUGUAAUUACUACACCGGACAUUCUUUUAAAGUGUUAUGAUUGAUUUAAGCGUUCAGUGAUAUGUAAAUAUUUAAUCCAGACACAAUCCGAGCCUCUCUUCCAGCCAUAAAUAUUAAACAAAAUGACAGCAGAAGUUUUUCUUUAGGCGCAGUGAAUGAAGAACCCGUUCAGGGUGGAAUCGACUCUUGUUCGAAAGAGUCGAUUGGGUGAGUUGAAUGCUCGUCACGCGCGUCAUUAAGGAGAAAACGAAAGGAAGAAAGGAGAGUUUUAACAGGUGAAUGAUCACCUGGAUUAUUGUUGGGGGGUUAUGAAAUUCUGUCCUGUUUAUUCCCUGUAUUUUUAAAAGUGCGUUAUGGGCAGGCUGAUUUGUAGGUCUAACCAGCCAGUUGAAUGUGGAAAAAAAGAAAAGUGCACUAUAUAGGCAAGGGUGCAUAUGAUUUGGAACAGGCCUAAUCAUCAAUGCAUGAUGGGAAAAUUUAGGAAAGAUAAGUGAUACAUCCGCAUACAUGUGGCACAAGUUGUUACGUCGAACCGCGCGCGCUGAGUGACACUAAUUAAGUGUAUCACCUGUCCUGGCGUAAUUCUUUGGCACUCCUCUUUACGCACUGCGUUUUGGUUGUUGUUUCUUUCUUUCUUUUUUCUUUCUUAGACGUGGCGUCUGAUCUUUUUUUUUUUUGGUCGCGGUUAGAUUAUGAAAUCACGACAGUUCAGUCUGAAAUCCGACACUUUUUUAGGGAACACUUUUAAUUUCAGUACCUGGCAACGCUGUAGGGGCGGAAACUUCAUAACAGCGCCGAAAUACGCGACUCCAAGAAUACGCGCAACUAAAACCAACCCGAGCUGAACUCUCCGGCAGACCGAACAGAGCCCACAAACCCAAACCCAGGGAGAGUUUCCAUUACAAAAAGAAGAAAAAUGUAGUCUCCAUGCAUGGAUUGUAACUGUCCGAGUUGAGAGGACUUCAGCACGAAUCAUUCAGGCGUGUGAACAUGGACCAAAAAUGACAAAUGCAUCUUCUUGGCACUUCUGUUUUGGUGUUUCUCCUCCUACCUCUCGUCUUCUCCUGCAAAAGCACCAAGAGUAAAGAGGAGAUCUCUCAGGAUUAUGAGUAUAUCAUUCAGAAGCAGCUGGAGCACAUUAACUUGAGUAUUCAGAGACAGGUGGAGUCCUGCGGGGAACGAAAGCUCGUGCUGCAGAAUUUAUUCCCGAUCGAGCGCAUCAGCACCGUGUCCUGCACCCGUUUACCGAGGAACAUAAGUGGUCAGCUGCACACUGAAUUACGGAACCUCGUGAGGGACAUAACGGUAUCGCUGGGAUGUCCCUGUUCUGCAAACCAGACCGAGCAGGCAGAGAGGUGGCCGGACUCCCAGCCUUUACAGAAGAAGUUUUGCCGACUGAAACGUUUGCUCAUGACGAUACAGAAAGCGUACGAACAAUACAACUCGGCUUAGUAAGUGUGGGCCACCGUGAGCGCCGAUUGAAAGAUGUUCUAAAUCUGAAAUAAUAAUAAUAAAAACAAUAGUAAUAAUAAAUAAAAUAUCGAAGCAUGGCUUCCUUACAAAGCUUUGCAUGGCACCUUGUAUAUGAGAGGACAUACACUCAUAACGAAGUGGCGAGUGAAACACGCCCGCUGCUUGGAGAGCAAAAAUCAGCCGGAUGCAGGAUCCAUCAUGAAUCGUACAACCAGCAGACAUGUCUCACGGACCAGUCGCCGUGAAACAGGUCGACCCCCCCCCGAUGGUUCAACAGCAUUCUUUGACUUUAACCCAUGUUUCCACUGAAGCUCUGGAUAUCCACCUUGUUUUUCUAGCUAUGGAGAUCUACUCUCAGUUCCUAGAGCUUGUUUUGAACUGCGCCCAAAAAGGUGUGAAGGAAAAGGGUCAGAAGAUGAGUUAUGUCCUGAUGAUGUCAAAGUUGUCUGUGGCAAAGUGUAGAGAGAGGCAUAUGCAGAAGAGCGCGGACAGCACUUUCCUCAGAGCAAGUUAUGCUACAAAGAAAAUCUUAGGGGGGGGCAAUAAUGGAUAA
ensembl:lncRNA